rnacentral:rRNA from 1 species
UACGGAAGGCAGCAGUGGGGAAUAUUGCACAAUGGGCGAAAGCCUGAUGCAGCUAUGCCGCGUGUAUGAAGAAGGCCUUAGGGUUGUAAAGUACUUUCAUCGGGGAGGAAAAAACAAAACUAAUAAUUUUAUUUCUUGACGUUACCCGAAAAAGAAGCACCGGCUAACUCCGUGCCAGCAGCCGCGGUAAUACGGAGGGUGCUAGCGUUAAUCAGGAUUACUGGGCGUAAAGAGCACGUAGGUGGUUUUUUUAAGUCAGAUGUGAAAUCCCUGGGCUUAACCUGGAACUGCAUUUUGAAACUGAAAUACUAGAGUAUCGUAGAGGGAGGUAGAAUUCUAGGUGUAGCGGUGAAAUGCGUAGAUAUCUGGAGGAAUACCUGUGGCGAAAGCGGCCUCCUAAACGAAUACUGACACUGAGGUGCGAAAGCGUGGGGAGCAAACAGGGAUUAGAUACC